GCGGUCCCCGGCUGCGGUGGCGCUGAUUGGCUGGAAGCACAGGUGCCGACUGCAGCUAGACCACAGCAGAUGGGCCUGGUUCCUGCAAGACCAUGUCUGCCUUCCCGGAGCUGUGACUUCUGGAACCUUGGAUAAGACCUUUCACCAACUGUGAAACUCUGUUUCCCCUCAUUUAAUCAAGGAUGGUUAAACCGAGAUGUUGACCACUCCCAGCUAAAAGUGAACUCAGAAAAACCUGUUAAUUCCAACAACACCACCGACAACAGGAUCGGGGCACAGCCACGCCCUCUGCAGUCAAGGGAAGUGGCCAAGGUCUGGUUCCAGCAGAGGUUCCCUCAUUAUCUGGUGAUAGGAAGAUAAACAGUGGCCUCUGUAGGGUCAGGCAGUGGUCUCAUGCUUGAUGUCACUCAAGCACGUGACACUCAAGCCCUUUGAACUGAUCUCUAUGAUCUAGAUGAUCUAACAGAGGCCGAGAGAGGUGAUGUCACAUCUAAGACUCUCCCCAUGGUGUCGGGACGGAACCAGACUUUGGUCUGCCUGCCUCCAGAGCCUCGGAAACAGUCCUUUGAAUCUGUCUGGUCUAUACUGGAUUCACAGGUGUUUCUGGAGGGUCAGGACAUGGGAGUGGCCAGCCUCCAGCCCCUUUUACAACAGAUCCUGAACAGUAUCGCCAGCGACUCUGCCUACAUUCCUGCCUAGCGGUUGGUUCCUGGACUGGGUAGGGUCCAAAGUUGCCCUGAAGAGUGUCCCCUUGAAAGUGAGUGGCCUCAAAAAUAAGCAGCUGUUUUCCUGAUCAUCCUUGAUAAGGACUCCGAAGGAGGCAUACCGCCAGGAUUGGCAUGAGUAAGAGGUCCCACGCGGGCCUUGUCAGCCUGUCCUUUGGCUAAGCAAUUUUAUUCCCGGGAAUUUGGUAUGAGGCAAUCACCUCUGGGUGCAGAGGACCCUAAGGGAUGCCUAUCAGAGUUCCAGUUCUGGUCCUGGCAAAUCGGCCUGUUCCAGUGCUCUUUAGCGAGGCUCGGGGAAGAAGAAGAAGGCAACAGUUGUGCAGCCAGGCUCUGGCUGCAAUCCAGAAGGGUGCUGUGAACACAUCCCUGAACCUUGGAUGCCAGUCGCUGGGCCUGCAGUACAGUUGUCAGAGCCUGUAAGUCCUCAUUCAACCCUCCCAACUAUGAAUGAAGCCCCAGAGGGGCACACCUCACCCCGUGAGACCUGAGCGGAGCUGUCUUGGCCUUGGCCUUGGCUUACAGGAUGGUUCUUAAGUCUGUCUGUUCCCAUCCACACAACCCACUCAGAAAGAGAAGGAAGGCAUUGGGGACCCCGGAGGUAAAAGGAACAGGUGCAGUUUAUAGUUGAUUAUUUUUAUUCAUCUGUCAACAUGACUUCUUUUGUUAGGAAGAAAAAGGAAAUUUUAUAGUUAUUAAAGAGGAGCCAAUCAGACAGGCUUGUGCCAAGCUGAGCAGGGAACAGGAGAAGUGCUAAGGUAUUCGGUGGGGGGGUCUUUGCCUUGUGGGCAGGAACUGGCUAGAAAAGGUGGAAGCCAGAGGGAGGGGCCCACAGGGGCCAGGAUCCCGGAAGGAGCAGGCUUGUUUGAAAAGACAUUUUAGCCCCAUGGGUCCCUGGGAAGGGGGGAGGGGGAGAGCCCUGAAUCUCACUCUUCCUGGGGACUUGUAUUGGGCCCUGGCUAUCUCUGGGUCCAUCACUAGUCUGUGCCCGUGAAAGAUACUGCCCACUCCCAACUAAAAGUGAACUCAGGAAAACCAGUUAAUUCCAACACCAUCACUGCAAACAGCCUUGCGGCACACCCAAACCCUCUGCAGUGAAAGGAAGUGGCCAAGGUCUGGUCCCAGCAGGAGUUCCGGAGUCCCAGGCUGUGUCCUCUGCCACACGCUGGGGGGUGGGGGCGGGUAAAUAAUGUCCCUCCAGGAAACGUUUUUUUACUUUUAUGAACUUCUACAAAAUCAAUUUUGUUAUCAAAUUUCACAGAAUUCCAUGAAUGUUGGGAACCCAUAGAGUUCUCAGUUCUGACCCUAGUGGGUCCAGAAGUCUCUAUUAUAGACCACUGGGCCCCAAAACACACAUACACACACACACACACAAACACACACACACAC